AUGUAAUAUUGCUUACAUGCGGAAUCCAAAAAAAAAUGAUACAAAUGAACUUAUUUAUAAAACAGGGUCAGGUGGUUUUACAUAAUGUAAUUAACUCACACAGUAGAGGAUUGUUCUGCAAUGCGGCACCGGCACCAACACCCUGAUCCAUCAGUGCUUCAAGCAAAGGGAGCUGCCUGACCCUCGGGAAUGACAGGCACUGCUUGGACGUUCAGACAGCUUGCUCUGGCUUUAGACAAUGACAAGUGUACGUCGAACCCAGCAGAACGGCUGAUCCAAAUCUCCUACUCUGGUGACUCCUGCUGUCCACUGUGCUGUGUCAAUGGCACCUUUGGGAAGAAGAAAGGAGUGGGGAGAGUCCAAGAGGAACAGAGACUGCUUCUGAUGCCCCAACGUCAUCUUCUCCUCCCAUCCCAGUCACUAGAGGCCCGAGCGUGCUCCGGCAGCCAUUCCUGAUCUGAGUUAGGAUUCUUCUACCUUCCUGAAAAAGUGAGAUGGAAACGCCCAGGAACCUCCUGCUUCCUCUGGGGCUUCGUCAGGUGCUCCCACCUGGGGGCAGUCCCUGUCCUUCUCAUAGUCAAAGACCGUGAACAACUUGAUGGCAGGAACCAGGCCACUCGGCCGACGCAUGUGGACCACACAAUGUGGUCCACUUGGCCGCUUUGCUGAAGGAGGAGCUGAGUCCCCAAGGGCCCCCCCCCAGGAGAUGAAAGUUGUUUCACAUUUCUGUCUGACUUCCUAUUAUCAAAAAAUGCCCCCAACCUGUAAAAUGCUGUUAAAAAUGCUCUAGCAGACCCUGGCGGACACCAAUUAACCUCAGAAACAGAAACAGGAAAGGAAACGGCACUGCAGCAGGAUGGAUCUCCCUGUCCCCUCCCCAUCAGUGAUUUGGAGAUGAAGAGGGCACAUUUUGCUCGCUUAUUGAAUGUGUAGCAAAAAAAAUGAGUAAAAGCUGAACAGAACAGUCA